rnacentral:rRNA from 1 species
AUAUUAAUAAGCGGAGGAAAAGAAACUGACAAGGAUUCCCCCAGUAACGGCGAGUGAAGCGGGAAGAGCUCAAAUUUGAAAUCUCGCGGGGCAACCCGUGCGAAUUGUAGUUUAGAGAAGCGUUUUCGGGGGCGACUCGGGCAUAAGCCUUUGGAAGGAGGCAUCGCAGAGGGUGACAAUCCCGUCUUUGGCCUGCAGCUCGCUCCUGUGUGAUACGCUUUCGAAGAGUCGGUUUGUUUGGGAAUGCAAACCAAAAUGGGUGGUAAAUACCAUCUAAAGCUAAAUACAGGCGAGAGACCGAUAGCGCACAAGUA